rnacentral:rRNA from 1 species
AUGGCUUCCAGUGUGCAGCAUCCAUGGCUUCUCCUCUUGCUCGUCCUCCUCCCGGCCGUGGCCCCGACGACUGCAAGGACGCCGGUGUUCGAUGACAACUACGUGCCAACGUGGGGUGCAGACGGCUACCACCUUGUCAACCAGGGGACACAGGUUCGUCUCACCAUGGACAAGAGGUCCGGCGCCGGGUUCUGCUCCAAGUCGACGUAUGGCUCGGGGUUCUUCCGCAUGAGGGUCAAGGUACCCGGAGGGUACACGGCCGGAGUCGUCACAGCCUUCUUUCUGAUGUCGGUACCACCUCAGAGCAGUGACCGUGACGAGGUGGACUUCGAGUUCCUGGGCAACGUGACGGCCAGCCCAUCACCCUCCAGACCAACGUCUUCGUCAACGGCCACGGUAACAGGGAGCAGAGGAUGA